AAUAGAUACCCAGGUAGUCCACGCCGUAAACGAUGUCGACUUGGAGGUUGUUCCCUUGAGGAGUGGCUUCCGGAGCUAACGCGUUAAGUCGACCGCCUGGGGAGUACGGCCGCAAGGUUAAAACUCAAAUGAAUUGACGGGGGCCCGCACAAGCGGUGGAGCAUGUGGUUUAAUUCGAUGCAACGCGAAGAACCUUACCUACUCUUGACAUCCAGAGAACUUAGCAGAGAUGCUUUGGUGCCUUCGGGAACUCUGAGACAGGUGCUGCAUGGCUGUCGUCAGCUCGUGUUGUGAAAUGUUGGGUUAAGUCCCGCAACGAGCGCAACCCUUAUCCUUUGUUGCCAGCGGUUCGGCCGGGAACUCAAAGGAGACUGCCAGUGAUAAACUGGAGGAAGGUGGGGAUGACGUCAAGUCAUCAUGGCCCUUACGAGUAGGGCUACACACGUGCUACAAUGGCGUAUACAAAGAGAAACGACCUCGCGAGAGCAAGCGGACCUCAUAAAGUACGUCGUAGUCCGGAUUGGAGUCUGCAACUCGA
rnacentral:rRNA from 1 species